GAAGAAACCUCUCUCCCUUUCUCUUCAUAAAUCACAUUUCUCUCUUAUGGUUCUCUCUUCUGUUGAGGUUUCUUCAAAGCAGUGCAGUUCGGGGGAAGGGGUUCUGGCCGUUUUGCCGUCGACCCUCCUCCCUCCCCUUUUCUUUAGAAAGCUCUUCGGAGCACUGUAGGUUGGCAGAUUCGAAGGUGGGCACCAUAUGGGUCACCUAUGCCUAACCAUUUUCCGGUUCGUCCGAACAUGGUCCAAGUCCCUGCUCUUAUUUGGUGGUUUCUACAUUUUCCCGUUCUCCAUAUGGGUUUGAAAGGGCGAGCAUGAAGGCUUUUGGGUCAAGUGGGUGCUCAUGCACUCCAUUUGAUGUUGAUAUGUAUCUCCCUGCAUGUAAUUUUUUCAAGUUACCUUACUGUUUCUCCUUCAAAAGCUUGUGUUGCUGGUGAAAAGUCGGCGACUAUGAUUGAUGAAUCAAGAAGGUUGUUGAUGAAAAUGGUCUCUGGGUUAACCCGGUUAGUCUAAGGAUUCAUGUUCCAUUGGAUUUAGGCUUCUGAGCUUGGGUUGAAAUUAAUGUGAUUCUAUAUUUUUUGGUGGACUUGACUCUGUAAGUUUAUUUUAUCAAUGAAAUAUCUAUGCUGGUUAAAAAGGUAGGUGUGGGUAGGACAAAGGGCUUGGCUAAAGAUUUUAUUUUUCUUAAUUUUUUAGUUAUUUUUCUAGUCAAUAAAGGUGAUUAUUUUAGAUUGAUGAUUUUUUUUCCUAUGAAUUUGCAUAUUUCUCUCUUUCAUUGCUAGAGACUUGUAUAGCUUUUAUUUCUAUCACUUUAGUGGGAUUUCUCAAUUUACG
rnacentral:misc_RNA from 1 species